rnacentral:misc_RNA from 1 species
GUAGGUGAACCUGCGGAAGGAUCAUUAACAAAUUUUGUGUGCUCGGUGCUACAGGGUAUCCGGCGGAGCUCAUUUAUGAUGCUGGCUGGGUAUUCCUGCGCAAUGCUGUGUCUCUAGAGAUUAAUUUCUUCAGAGAUGCACAACCAACAAGUAACCUGGGGUACUUUAAGGUGAAGUGCUUUACUGUGCUUUGUCUUAGAGCCCUUCUAAUAAUCCCUCUUUUUACCAUUUUACCCCUUUAUAAACUAUAAGACUGAUAUGACAUGAUAAAUGUCAAAUACAAAAUUAUAAAACAACUCUUAACAAUGGAUAUCUAGGCUCUG